UAAAUACGCUUUGUUGGGGCGUUUUGUUUCGAGCCGAGGCGGCUGCACCAUCCCCCGAGCCGGGGCUGCCGGAGCCGCUCGGGGGCUUCACUUUUACAGAGAUCGCUUAUUUUUCCCCGACCUUGUGCAGUCCUCUCCCUUUUAUUACAUGGGUUUGUUUUGUUUUUUUCCCUCUCCCUUCUGCGGGUAUAAAGGUUCCUCUCCUCUCUCCAGCUUGGCUGCUUGUUCCAGAAGUUUCCACGGGGGCGGGGAGCCCCCACUGCGGCGCCUUUGCCGCAGCGCCGGGCAGGAGGAGGAGGAGGAUGCGGAGGAUGCGCCACCUCUCCCUGGCUGGGAGCCUCAUUCCAAGCCGCUCCCCCUUGCUCCGUUCCCCCAGCCUUGAAAACAGAGCACUGGGGAGGUGUUUGCAACUUGGAGGGGGUUUUUUUUGGGUUUUUGUUGUUUUGGUUUUUUUUUCCCCUCUAAAUAAUUGGAAAGCAGAGCUGUCGCUGAUGGAGAUGGAUGAGGCAGGGCUGGCAGCGCCGCAGCUCUGCUCCGGCGUGGCCGUGGCACCGAUGGCAUGAGUGACCUUUCCCAGGCGGUGGGAGAGGGGAUUCCCCCCCACCCCAGCAUGCUCCUGCUUGGAAUUCAUUUUAAAUAGCAGGAGUAUUAAUUUUUAUUUUCAUUCCCUCCUCCCAUUUCUCCUUCACUGUUUGGUUUUGUUUUGUUCUGUUGUUUUUUGGUUUUUUUUUUUCUUCCCCGAAGCUUCCUCAUGAUCUUUUAUUUUCUUCCUGUGCGUGUUUUGAAUUGCAUUUUAAAAUUGCCCAGCUGGAGACAAGGCUUGAUUAGAGCUGGAACAAUAGCUCCCUUUUAUUAAUAACGGGAAGGAUUUACAAUCCUACAGCACCUUCCUUGGAAAGCUUUCCAAACCAUUUGCAAACACUCACAAAUUUCAGAUUGUGCAGCCCUUGGCUGUGAGGUGGUCCCUAAGUGACCUCCUGCAGCGCUGCCUCCGCUGCGGUUCCAGCGCAGCCUUGCACUGGAACACUAAUGUGUGUCCCUGCGAGCCGGAGUGACCUUGCUGGGGGACUGGACCCACCGAGCGAUUCAGAUCCCUACAAACCACGCGGGGAUCCAGGAGUCGCCCAGGCAGUGGGAUCUGGCCUUGCCAGAAGCAUGAGGGACAAGGUUCCAGCUAUGUCUGCAUGUGUCAUACCCGGGCCACACAAACCCACAGUGUUCCUGUGGUUACUUCUGUCUGCAGAGCAUCAGUGGGUCCCAGGGCUUCCCUUCCCACUGCUUGCUGGUUCACAAAGGCUGAUGCUUCUGGAAAAAGCUCUGCCUUGUGGCCUUUAAAAUAAAUAAAUAAAGCGGGGCUGCUGUGGAUUAGUCAUCCUUAUUUUUGAAGGAAGCUAUUUGCCAGCGCUGUCCGAAUCAGGCAUGUGCGUGUGAGAUGGGAACUCCAGAAGGCUGGUAACGUGCUCUGCUCGCUGCUCCUUGGAGCUCAGCCACCCAGGCUUCGUUGAGCUGCUCCUGGCAGGUGGAAAAUCUGACAGUCCAGCUUUCCAGACCUUUCCCUCCUUUUUUUUUCAGUGCUGGAAUAUGCUUUGGCAGGUGUGCAAAUGUGGAGACUGUAACAGCAGCAAGUGAGGAUGGAUGAGCUGUUUUCUGGGGUCACAUCCAACUCCAGAGAAGAAACCCUGUUUAGGAUAAACGACUGAGAAUUGCCUUGUGAGUGCUGAACUUUUACCCCUGAAGAGUUACUCGAGCUACAUCCAUGAUAUUUCCAAGCUAAACAAAACCUGAAUUUCCAGUGCCAAAAAGCGAUAAAAACCUCCACUCCUCUUCUGUUCAGGAGAAAACUGUGAGAACUCCGGGCUUGCUCAGAGUCGAUGGCUUUGUUUGUGACAGCUCCCAGCCCCUGCAUGUCCUGUGAGAUGGCCGGGUGACAGCAGUGACUCCGUGUGAGAUUCCCUGGAAGGACCUGGGAGCUGCUGUGCUUUACUUGUGUCCCUCAGAGAUGCCACCCCAGCAGGAGAAAGAAGAGCUGGGAUUGCAGUUGUAGCAAGUACACUCCAUCAGAGGGAGAAUUUAUCAUGGAAAAGUUGUUUGGCUUUUUGGCAUUUUUGGUUUGGUUUUUCCUCUCCGAAAUGGAGAGCCCGUUAAAGGUAGAGACAUGUACAAACUGCUCCUUGGGCUUCCCACCAGGAAAUGGAAAAAUGGAAAGCUGAGCCCAGUUCCACACUGGAAGCGCCGGUGGAGCGUGUUGGCAGCGCAUUUUCUUUGCACACGUGGCUCCAUCACACGUUUUGAAUAAUAGAUGGUUUGCGUGCAAGGAGUUGUUGGGCUUUUUAAUUAAUCAGUAGAUCCCAGUUUGGCAGAGCCCAUCAUCACUGGGGAAACUGAGGCACCGGGCUGCCAAAGGAUGGGCUUGCAGCAACUGGAGUUGGGGCUAAGGCUCGGGGCCACCAUGGAUGGAAUCCACCUGCGUCAGAGAUCUGAUUAAAUCAGGAGAUUUGCAUAUUUGUUAAGGCACUACAGCUCGGUGACUUUGACCAGUAGUGAGGUGGACUUAUUGCCAGAAGGUUACGGUGUCCGGCUGGGUGGCAAAAAGCAGCUCUGACAAAUAAAACAUGGGUUUGAUCAAUACCAAAACAUCAUCAGGAGACUUUGGCCAUGGAAAAUACUGAAAUAUGGGUUUGCUCAGUGGUGAAAGCAGUGAAGGCUUUUAACACCAA